AGAAAUGAGGAAUGAACAUGGACUUCUUGUGCCCCAAAAGAAAAGACAGAAAGCUCCUAAAAUGAGCAAAUAAGCUGUGCAUCAUCUCUGGUGUUUGGGAAGGAAAUGACUGAAUAUGAUGAAGCCAGUUGAUGAAGAUAUCAAUUGAAUGGCCACCGAGUGCAUCACUGCUACCUGAACCCAUCAGUUAUCUUCUGUGAAGACUGCAUUCACAAACCGCUCUACUGCGACAGCUCAGAUGUUACGGCCUGUAAAAGUAAACAUCACAGCUAAACAACGAGAGCUAGUUGUGGUGGGAUUCUUUUGGCCAAUAUCCCCAACAAGAAUCAAUGACAUCUAGACCAGGUGGAGUGUGAGGAGGACCGUCAGAGACUCCAGCCAGCCGAGCCAUGGAUUGCUCUCACUGUUACCAUCAGGCAUGCGUUAUCACAGAACCUACACCAGCAGACAGUGAGACAAGUUCCUUUCACAGGCAAUCAGACUGAACUGAACUCAUACCAGUAAAACCAUACACACCCCACCAACCUCAUAUGCCCUGCACUCUUAUCAGUUAUGCUGACUGGACUCAAUAUUAUUAUGCACCCUGACAUUCUGUUUGCACUAAUUCAUACCGUGCUUUACUGCAGAGAUGUAUGUGUACUGUGAUUAUUAUUGUUUUCAAUUCAUGCCCUUUGUAUAGCAUAAUUUUUAACAUAUAUUGUUAUCUACCUGAAUUGAGUCCCUUAUAAAUGUGUGUUGCAUAUAUAUAUAUAUUCAGAAUUUGUAUUUCAUAUAUAUUCAUGAAUUAAUUCAUUUGUCAUCCAUACUGUCACGCUGCAGUCUGCACCCAAGACUUUCAUCACCUGUAUACUUGUGUUCAUUGUAUUGUGACAAUAAAGAUAUUUGAUUUAAAUUA